ensembl:snRNA U1 U1 spliceosomal RNA
AUACUUACCUGGCAAGGGAGAUACCAUGAUCACGAAGGUGGUUUUCCCAGGGCGAGGCUUAUCCAUUGCACUCCGGAUGUGCUGACCCCUGCGAUUUCCCCAAAUGUGGGAAACUCGACUGCAUAAUUUGUGGUAGUGGGGGACUGCGUUCGCACUCUCCCCUG